rnacentral:rRNA from 1 species
AUUGAACGCUGGCGGCAGGCUUAACACAUGCAAGUCGAGCGGGGUGAUGGUGCUUGCACUAUCACUUAGCGGCGGACGGGUGAGUAAUGCUUAGGAAUCUGCCUAUUAGUGGGGGACAACAUCUCGAAAGGGAUGCUAAUACCGCAUACGUCCUACGGGAGAAAGCAGGGGAUCACUUGUGACCUUGCGCUAAUAGAUGAGCCUAAGUCGGAUUAGCUAGUUGGUGGGGUAAAGGCCUACCAAGGCGACGUUCUGUAGCGGGUCUGAGAGGAUGAUCCGCCACACUGGGACUGAGACACGGCCCAGACUCCUACGGGAGGCAGCAGUGGGGAAUAUUGGACAAUGGGGGGAACCCUGAUCCAGCCAUGCCGCGUGCGUGAAGAAGGCCUUAUGGUUGUAAAGCACUUUAAGCGAGGAGGAGGCUCUUUUGGUUAAUACCCAAGAUGAGUGGACGUUACUCGCAGAAUAAGCACCGGCUAACUCUGUGCCAGCCGCCGCAGUAA